rnacentral:rRNA from 1 species
AUUGAACGCUGGCGGCAUGCUUUACACAUGCAAGUCGAACGGCAGCGCGGGCUUCGGCCUGGCGGCGAGUGGCGAACGGGUGAGUAAUAUAUCGGAACGUACCCAAGAGUGGGGGAUAACGUAGCGAAAGUUACGCUAAUACCGCAUACGAUCUAAGGAUGAAAGCAGGGGAUCGCAAGACCUUGUGCUCCUGGAGCGGCCGAUAUCUGAUUAGCUAGUUGGUGAGGUAAAGGCUCACCAAGGCAACGAUCAGUAGCUGGUGUGAGAGGACGACAGGCCACACUGGAACGGAGACACGGUCCAGACUCCUACGGGAGGCAGCAGUGGGGAAUUUUGGACAAUGGGGGCAACCCUGAUCCAGCAAUGCCGCGUGAGUGAAGAAGGCCUUCGGGUUGUAAAGCUCUUUUGUCAGGGAAGAAAAGGUCGUGGCUAAUAUCCACGGCUGCUGACGGUACCUGAAGAAUAAGCACCGGCUAACUACGUGCCAGCCGCCGCCGUAACAC